AUGAACGCUGGCGGCGUGCCUAAUACAUGCAAGUCGAGCGAACGGACGAGAAGCUUGCUUCUCUGAUGUUAGCGGCGGACGGGUGAGUAACACGUGGAUAACCUACCUAUAAGACUGGGAUAACUUCGGGAAACCGGAGCUAGUACCGGAUAAUAUUUUGAACCGCAUGGUUCAAAAGUGAAAGACGGUCUUGCUGUCACUUAUAGAUGGAUCCGCGCUGCAUUAGCUAGUUGGUAAGGUAACGGCUUACCAAGGCAACGAUGCAUAGCCGACCUGAGAGGGUGAUCGGCCACACUGGAACUGAGACACGGUCCAGACUCCUACGGGAGGCAGCAGUAGGGAAUCCUCCGCAAUGGGCGAAAGCCUGACGGAGCAACGCCGCGUGAGUGAUGAAGGUCUUCGGAUCGUAAAACUCUGUUAUUAGGGAAGAACAUAUGUGUAAGUAACUGUGCACAUCUUGACGGUACCUAAUCAGAAAGCCACGGCUAACUACGUG
rnacentral:rRNA from 1 species